AUGAUCUCCUUUGUUUAUUUAUCACUAAUGCAGAUGCACAUAUGGUGGCAAAGUAGUUCCUUAUAGCUAAUUCACAAAAUAUCAAGUACCAAUGCUUUCUGCUUCCAAGAUUUUGUGUCUCUUUGUGUUUGGUUGUGUGCAUGCAUAUGUGCAUCUUCUUUCAUUGAGGAGCAGCUAGUGCUAUGGUUAGAUUCCAUUUUUAGUGGUUAAUCUUUGGAUGGAUGAUAAAAUGCUCUCCUUGGCUCUGUACUUUGUGUAACAAUUGUUAUUGGAGCUGAUGAAAUGGAAUUUGAAGUGUGGGUAUUGAUGCUUCCCCCUAGAGAUAGUUCCUUUGGCUUCAAUUGAUUGUGCCAGUUUUAUCAUUUUCAUAAAUAUGAAGAUCAAGGAUUUAUUCAGAUGUUAUUUUUGGGGAUUUCUCAAUUGUAAAUCUAACAACUUCAGACUUUAUUUAUAAGUGAGUCAAACCUAUUUCCUGUCUUUUUUUCCUUUUCAAUAAUUU
rnacentral:misc_RNA from 1 species